rnacentral:rRNA from 1 species
AGUGAACGCUGGCGGUAGGCCUAGCACAUGCAAGUCGAACGGCAGCACAGUAAGAGCUUGCUCUUACGGGUGGCGAGUGGCGGACGGGUGAGGAAUACAUCGGAAUCUACUUUUUCGUGGGGGAUAACGUAGGGAAACUUACGCUAAUACCGCAUACGACCUACGGGUGAAAGCAGGGGAUCUUCGGACCUUUCGCGAUUGAAUGAGCCGAUGUCGGAUUAGCUAGUUGGCGGGGUAAAGGCCCACCAAGGCGACGAUCCGUAGCUGGUCUGAGAGGAUGAUCAGCCACACUGGAACUGAGACACGGUCCAGACUCCUACGGGAGGCAGCAGUGGGGAAUAUUGGACAAUGGGCGCAAGCCUGAUCCAGCCAUACCGCGUGGGUGAAGAAGGCCUUCGGGUUGUAAAGCCCUUUUGUUGGGAAAGAAAAGCAGCAGGUUAAUACCCCGCUGUUCUGACGGUACCCAAAGAAUAAGCACCGGCUAACUUCGUG